rnacentral:rRNA from 1 species
GAUUAUGGCUCAGGAUGAACGCUAGCUACAGGCUUAACACAUGCAAGUCGAGGGGCAGCGAGAGGUUAGCUUGCUAACCUGUCGGCGACCGGCGCACGGGUGAGUAACGCGUAUCCAACCUUCCCCUUAGUAGGGCAUAGCCCGGCGAAAGUCGGAUUAAUACCCUAUGUUUUUCCGAUGAGGACAUCUGACUUGGAACAAAGAUUCAUCGCUAAGGGAUGGGGAUGCGUCCGAUUAGGCAGUCGGCGGGGUAACGGCCCACCGAGCCGUCGAUCGGUAGGGGUUCUGAGAGGAAGGUCCCCCACACUGGUACUGAGACACGGACCAGACUCCUACGGGAGGCAGCAGUGAGGAAUAUUGGUCAAUGGGCGGGAGCCUGAACCAGCCAAGUAAGCGUGCAGGAAGACGGCCCUAUGGGUUGUAAACUGCUUUUAUCGGGGGAUAAAGUGAGGGACGUGUCCCUUAUUGUAGGUACCCGAUGAAUAAGGACCGGCUAAUUCCGUGCCAGCAGCAGC